GAUGAACGCUGGCGGCGUGCCUAAUACAUGCAAGUCGAGCGAACGGACGAGAAGCUUGCUUCUCUGAUGUUAGCGGCGGACGGGUGAGUAACACGUGGAUAACCUACCUAUAAGACUGGGAUAACUUCGGGAAACCGGAGCUAAUACCGGAUGAUAUUUUGAACCGCAUGGUUCAAAAGUGAAAGACGGUCUUGCUGUCACUUAUAGAUGGAUCCGCGCUGCAUUAGCUAGUUGGUAAGGUAACGGCUUACCAAGGCAACGAUGCAUAGCCGACCUGAGAGGGUGAUCGGCCACACUGGAACUGAGACACGGUCCAGACUCCUACGGGAGGCAGCAGUACGGAAUCUUCCGCAAUGGGCGAAAGCCUGACGGAGCAACGCCGCGUGAGUGAUGAAGGUCUUCGGAUCGUAAAACUCUGUUAUUAGGGAAGAACAUAUGUGUAAGUAACUGUGCACAUCUUGACGGUACCUAAUCAGAAAGCCACGGCUAACUACGUG
rnacentral:rRNA from 1 species